rnacentral:rRNA from 1 species
AGUGAACGCUGGCGGUAGGCCUAACACAUGCAAGUCGAACGACAGCACAGUAACAGGUUGCUCUUACGUGUGGCGCGUGGGGGAGGGUUGCGGGAUGCUUCGCAAUCUACUAUUUCGGGGGGGCUAAGGGAGGGCAACGUACGCUCAUAACACAUUUGUCCUCCGUGUGGAUGCAGGGGAUCUUAGGACCUUGCGCUAUUGUAUAAGCCGAUCUGGGCUUAGCUAGUUAGCUGGGUAGCGGCCUACCAAGGCGACGAUGCGUAGCUGGUCUGAGAGGGUGAUCAGCCACACUGGAACUGAGACACGGUCCAGACUCCUACGGGAGGCAGCAGUAGGGAAUAUUCCGCAAUGGGCGAAAGCCUGAUGCAGCAAUACCGCGUGAGUGAUGAAGGACUUCGGGUCGUAAAGCGCUGUUGUUAGGAAAGAAAAUCAGCAGAUUUAACCGCGGACAUCUUGACGGUACCCAAAGAAUAAGCACCGGCUAACUUCGUG